rnacentral:rRNA from 1 species
UACGGAGGUGGCGAGCGUUGUCCGAAGUUACUGGGCGUAAAGCGCGCGUAGGCGGGCUAGUAAGUCGGAAGUGAAAGGCUAGAGCUUAACUCCAGCAGUGCUCCCGAUACUGUUAGUCUUGAGGGCGGCAGGGAGAAGUGGAAUGGCUGGUGUAGCGGUGAAAUGCGCAGAUAUCAGGAGGAACACCGGUGGCGAAGGCGGAUCUCUGGGCCUUACCUGACGCUGAGGCGCGAAAGCUAGGGGAGCGAACAGG